UGCUGUCCUGCUGAGAUCCCCCUCGAGCUGCUUUUACAGAGGAGAGACACCAGCAGGGCCAAGGGGGGAAUUCUGGGAAAUCGGGGAUGCCUGAAGCCACUCCCAGAAAGAGAAGCUGACUCCAAGUGACAGGCGGGGCCUGCUGGUGAGAAACAGCCCUGUGCUCCGGUGAGGUCCUGCAACCAGGCAAGCUUCCAAUAUUUUAAAGAUGAGUAACUGAGGCUCAGAGAGAGGACACUGCCUGCCUGGAGUCACACCAAGGAUCUGUGGGGCCCCCCUCAUAUCCAGACCAUAAUGAACACAAGUCAGUGAACCAUCUGGAUUAGUACUGAAAUUUCUUGGUUUUUAUGGACUGGUGGGAUCUAGAAAAGCUUGGACCUCAAGGAUAAAAGUUAUCUCUCCAGCCCUCCAGUCACUGCCCAGUUCUGGUGAAAGUUUUAAGUAGAAUUGCUCCUAAACAAGCUGGGGCUGAAGAUAAAUAUGUUGUCCAUCAGUGGAAGGAAGCAGGACUUGGAAAAUAUUAGUUUGUGAGCACAAAACCCCAAAGAUAAAAGACCAGUUCUUGGAUUUUAUAGACAUCUUGGGAUUUAUUUUCUAAACAGUUGUGCUGGCCUGCACAGAGACAGGAUGAUUGGGUCUUGUAGUGAGAUUCUACAAGACGACAUCUCAGAAUGCAGAGAUUUGGCUUCAGAUUGCUUUUCCAGCAAGAAAAGUGAAGCCCCAUCCUGUUGGCGAUUCAUCUUGCAGUUGUGGAUUGAAGUCGCUGAAGAAGUUGCAUUUAUAUGAAACAUCCUAAAGACUACUCUAUCUUGGAUGGUGAUUGUGGAGAGAUAGAAUGCUGCAGGUUAAGAGACAAAAUUUUCUUGGACUAUCUUAACUCCUUGAAUAGCCAUUUACCUUAACUUAAAAAAAAAAAAAACUAAUCCCACAUUCUUGUAAAUAAUAGAUGAGCUUCUAAGAAUAUAUCUCUAUAUGCAAACCUCCAGUGCCCACUUACCCUAAAGCUAAGGCUGUUGAAAGAUUCCAUCUGAAACCAUAGAAGAGAUGCUCUCCUUUCUGUAGCCCCCCACCUCAAGCUCCUACCAGUGUAAUUGGUCAGUUUAUUAAUUGAUUGAUGACCUUUUUUGAUGAUUAAAGUUCAUGUAACUUUUAUAA